rnacentral:rRNA from 1 species
GAUCCUGGCUCAGGAUGAACGCUAGCUACAGGCUUAACACAUGCAAGUCGAGGGGCAUCAUGGAGUUUGCUUGCAAACUCUGAUGGCGACCGGCGCACGGGUGAGUAACGCGUAUCCAACCUUCCCUAUAGUAGAGGAUAGCCCGGCGAAAGUCGGAUUAAUACUCUAUGUUUUCCGUUGCAGACAUCUAAGAUGGAACAAAGGCUUGCCGCUAUAGGAUGGGGAUGCGUCUGAUUAGGUAGUCGGCGGGGUAACGGCCCACCGAGCCUUCGAUCAGUAGGGGUUCUGAGAGGAAGGUCCCCCACAUUGGAACUGAGACACGGUCCAAACUCCUACGGGAGGCAGCAGUGAGGAAUAUUGGUCAAUGGGCGCGAGCCUGAACCAGCCAAGUAGCGUGCAGGAUGACGGCCCUAUGGGUUGUAAACUGCUUUUAUGCGGGGAUAAAGUUCACUACGUGUAGUGUUUUGUAGGUACCGCAUGAAUAAGGACCGGCUAAUUCCGUGCCAGCCGCCGC